rnacentral:lncRNA from 1 species
AGAAAGAUUCCAACAGAAACAGAUAGAAAACGUCUUGAGAAGAUAUAUCAAGGAAUAUAUCACUUGUCACACAUGCCGGUCACCGGACACAAUCCUACAAAAGGACACACGACUCUAUUUCUUACAGUGUGAAAUUUGUCAUUCUCGACGCUCUGUUGCCAGUAUCAAAACUGGCUUCCAGGCUGUCACAGGCAAGCGAGCACAGCUCCGUGCCAAAGCUAACUCAUUUGCUAAUCACCAUUGAUUUUUCCAAAAUGUGGUGGUGAUUUGGCUGGACAGGUUACCAUCAGAGUGGAGUUAAAAACAAGAAAGAAACUGCCAAGUUUUUUGGCAAGUGAUUGUUCUGAAAUCCUUGCAAGAUACCGAUAUUCAAGCUGUUGCCAUACUCAUUGCCUUCUUUAACAACUGUCAGAGAAACGUGAUAGAGUAAGGAGGUGCUUUUUAAAAUCGUUCAUAGACUUAUGUAAAAUGCAAGAUAAGUUAAAGUUAUUAUAACAGUAAUUCUUUAAAAAAAAGAAAC